CCCUAUUAUUUUUUAAGUUUAUUAAUUAGUAAUUUGGAAAAUUAAUAAUUUUGGCGGUUAAUUAUUAUUUUAGAGGAGCUUGUUUUUGUUAGAAAUUACUCUUUAUAUUUAGAAAUUAUUUAUGUUUAUUCAUCUCUGUUAUUACAAAAAUUGGUUAAAAAUUAAUUUAGUAUUUCAGGUCAAGAUGUAGCUUAAAAUUUAUAGAAUUAGCUACAUUUAUAUAAUAAUGGAUUUGAUUAAGUAAAAAAUUUAGGAAAUUGAAUUUAUUUGUAAUAGUAGUUAGAAGGCUAUUAUGAAUAUAGGUAAUUAAUGUA
rnacentral:rRNA from 1 species